rnacentral:rRNA from 1 species
UACGUAGGGUGCAAGCGUUGUCCGGAAUUAUUGGGCGUAAAGAGCUCGUAGGCGGCUCGUCACGUCGGCUGUGAAAACCCGGGGCUCAACCCCGGGACUGCAGUCGAUACGGGCGAGCUAGAGUUCGGCAGGGGAGACUGGAAUUCCUGGUGUAGCGGUGAAAUGCGCAGAUAUCAGGAGGAACACCGGUGGCGAAGGCGGGUCUCUGGGCCGAUACUGACGCUGAGGAGCGAAAGCGUGGGGAGCGAACAGG